rnacentral:rRNA from 1 species
GUAGUGGCAAGCGUUGUCCGGAAUUAUUGGGCGUAAAGCGCGCGCAGGCGGUCCUUUAAGUCUGAUGUGAAAGCCCACGGCUCAACCGUGGAGGGUCAUUGGAAACUGGGGGACUUGAGUACAGAAGAGGAAAGCGGAAUUCCAAGUGUAGCGGUGAAAUGCGUAGAGAUUUGGAGGAACACCAGUGGCGAAGGCGGCUUUCUGGUCUGUAACUGACGCUGAGGCGCGAAAGCGUGGGGAGCAAACAGGGAUUAGAUACCCUGGUAGUCCACGCCGUAAACGAUGAGUGCUAAGUGUUAGGGGGGUUUCCGCCCCCUUAGUGCUGCAGCUAACGCAUUAAGCACUCCGCCUGGGGAGUACGGCCGCAAGGCUG